rnacentral:rRNA from 1 species
CCUACGGGAGGCUGCAGUGAGGAAUAUUGGUCAAUGGACGAGAGUCUGAACCAGCCAAGUAGCGUGAAGGAUGACUGCCCUAUGGGUUGUAAACUUCUUUUAUAAAGGAAUAAAACGAGGCACGUGUGCCUUUUUGCAUGUACUUUAUGAAUAAGGAUCGGCUAACUCCGUGCCAGCAGCCGCGGUAAUACGGAGGAUCCGAGCGUUAUCCGGAUUUAUUGGGUUUAAAGGGAGCGUAGAUGGGUUGUUAAGUCAGUUGUGAAAGUUUGCGGCUCAACCGUAAAAUUGCAAUUGAUACUGGCAGUCUUGAGUACAGUUGAGGUAGGCGGAAUUCGUGGUGUAGCGGUGAAAUGCUUAGAGAUCACGCAGAACCCCGAUUGCGAAGGCAGCUUACCAAACUGUGACUGACAUUGAUGCACGAAAGUGUGGGUAUCAAACAGGAUUAGAUACCCUUGUAGUC